AGGUGGCUGCAUGAAGAUGGAGGCAGAGUCAGCGUGCUGUCCCUAAAUCCAAGGGACACCAUGGAUUGUGGGAAGCCGCCGGGAGCGGGAGAGAGGCCUGGACCGGGUUGUCCUUCAGAGCCUGCGGAAGAAACCAGCCUUGCGGACGUCUGGACUUUGUACUUCUAGAACGCCACUUUUGGGAGACAGGAAUAGAAGGGGUGACCCUCGUUUGCAAGGAGCUGCUGCUGAGGCUGGAGAGGGCGUCCACUCGUCUCCCGCUCUCCCGCGUGCGCUGACUGGGCACGACGUGCAGUGGGAGCGCUGAGCCCUGGAAAUGAAGAGCGGCCUCUGUGUCCCGGAGAGGAGCGACCCGGGGCCUAGGCUGGGGCCUGACGCAGGGUCAGGGCAGGAACUCGGCUCUUGCGAUUGGCUGCUCAAUACUCUCACUCAGUGUUUGCCAGAAGCCCUGACUCAUGGGUUGGACGAGGAUUAAAAGACGUAAUACAGACGAAGAGUGCAGUGUGGCGUCUGGAAAGUCAAGGGGUCAGGAAAUGGUGGCCAGCACAGUCAUUUACCCUGCCCGUCCUGUCGUUUCCAUGGUCAAGGCCUGUGGAGCUCUGCAGUCACGACUUUGAAGGCCUCUGCCCUUUCCCAGCGAACUGUGGGGACGAUGGCUGCUUUCCGGAAAGCUCCCUUCGGAUCCCCGGCCACCCCCCUCUGGCUGCCCUUUGGCUUUGGAACUGGAUCAGAGCUGUCACAUGCACUUACUUGGACGGACAUGACCUUCGCCCCACACCCGAGGGUGUUCUCUGUGAGCCGAGGAUGGAUGUGCCUGGUGCAGAAAAGGUGUUCUGUGCCGGGGAGGACAAUUCAGAGUCACAUUGGCUCGUAAACAGCCAUUUCCUCGGAAGGUGCUGCAUUCGAGGCCGGCUGGCUGGCCGGCGCUGCUCCCUCAGGCUGAACGGCAGAGCCCCCAAAUCACCUUCCCGAAGUACCCCGUGGCAAUUUGCUAAUUAUUUUUAUGAUGCCAGGUCAGCAAUAAAGGUGGCCUUCCUGCUCCGCUCAGCCGCACGGCAGGAGAGACCAUUUUUCAAAGCUGGGUUCCGCUGCCCGGCCUGCCGGGGAGGGCGGCCCCGAGUGCGGGCUCAGUUGCUCUGCACGCCUUUCUUGGUGUGUCCUUGUCCUUUUCCUAGUCCUGCUUUGCUGCCCUUGGAGUCUGAAGGUGCAUUCUUUUUUCUAGGGCUGCCAUAACAAAGCACCACACUGAGUGCUUAAAACCCCAGAAACUCAUUCCUUCUCAGCUCUGGAGGCUGGACGUCCAAGGUCAAGGGGUCAGCAGGGCUGUGCUGGCUCUGAGGGCUUUGGAGAAGGGAUUGUGCUCCAUGCCUUUAUCUAAGGGGCCGGUCUUGCUGGCAAUCUUGACCUUCUUUGGCGAGCUGCAGUAUCAUUCCAGUCUCCGCCUCUGUUGUUACCUGUGAUUUUCUGUGUGUGUUUGUGUGUCUGUGUCUUUCUUCUCUCCUCAUACUGAACUAAGGGCCCACCCUACUGCUGUUUAAUCUCGUCUUCACUAGUUACUACUUCUGCAAAGUCCUUAUUUCCAAAUAAGGUCAGGUUAUAAGGUAGUGGGGGUUAGGAUUUGAGCUUAUCUUUUGGGGGGGCCAUAGCAGAAACUAUGACAGAAGAUAUCGAAGGGGACCUCGUGUAUAAAAGCUUGGGGCAUUAUUUUCAAUUAUUCCCCAGCCCUCCGACUGGUGGGGAGCUGCUGUAAGUGUUUGCUUUGCAGGUGAAAAGAGGGCCUGAGCUCCAAGCUCACAUUGGGGGUGUGCACGUGCGGUUAUGGGUGUGCCCCCCGUGGGCUGUUUGUUCGUUCCGGUGAACACAAGUCUCUUAAUAGUGUAACAAGAUCAUAGUGGUCCAAUGAGUAAAGAAAAAGAGCGGUCCCACCUCCUCUGAGUCACGGGACCCACGCGCUAGGGCCCCCCUCAUUCUUCCGGCACCUCUUCUGUGACAAAACCCUGUUUCCAGCCUAGAGGAAGAAACACACAGGGUCCUAUUCAAAUUACCACAGGAAAGUUCAAACUCUGGAAUUAGUCGUGUCAGAAAAGCCCAGACUCUUUUAGCUAUACAGGGCAACUUCAGAUUCUAAUGGAAACCUUGCAGGCUGUCAUGUAAUGUGAAACAAUUCAUUCCUUUCAGUUAUUUCAUGAAGAGUUGGGCCCGUCUGCGGUGACUUGCAUCCGAAGUGUCACAGAUGCCAUCCUCAUUUUGUAAAUUACACUGUCUCUGAGGCUUCCAGAGCCUGCCCUAGUUUUUUUUUUUUUUUCUCUCAAUUUCCAAAUCCUGUGGAGCUUCACCCCCUGCUGAGGUUCAGGUAGAACGGCUCAGUGCAGUAACGAUGCUACUUAAGUUAAGGUGUUUUGGGAUUUGGGGGACUUCUCAUUCCUAAUUUAUAUCACAAGAAAAAUUUUUGGCAGAGUAGAAAGAAACAGUGCAUUUGCAACUAGCUGAGGGCCCGGGCCUCAGUUUCCUUGACUGAAAAACGGAGCGUUUGCAGUGCAGACUCGGGAGGUCAUCUACCGAGUCUCGGCUUCCAGGAGUCUAGAGUGCGUGAUGACUCUUCUAAACGGCUUCAGAAUGUUGAUCAGGAAGUUCGCCGUGCAAAAGGGAACCGUCUGUGACGUGGCACCCGGCUCAGCUCUGCUGACAAAAAUCUUCUGUCGCAUGAAGGAUUUUCCUGGAAUUUGACCUCCAUGUUCUUCGGGCUUGUCAAUGCCUGGAGCACGGCAGUGACCUUGCAAGGGGAAACGGCCACUUUGCAUUCUUCCUGCCUGCAUGUUUGCUCCCUAAAGGCUGUCCCAGGGAUUAUUGAUGAGGGCUGCGGCCCACUGCGAUCCCUAAGAUUUGGGCGGCUCUUUGUACUUUCCACAGUGCGUUCAUGAACAUUCAUUUAUUCAGCCCCCACAAUAGUCUGGGAGUGAGUAAGACUGGCCUCAUUCUCAUUUGAAGAAUGAGGAAAAUGAGGAGCAUGGAGCCUGCAUCACCUUAACAAGGUCACAGAAGAGAUGAGCGGCCGAGCGAGCGCUGGAAUACAAAUGUUCUGGCUUCGUGUUCAAGGGUUCUUCCAUCACCUUUGAACUGAGCUUUCCAGGUGGGGCAGGAAAAAAACUUAACCUAUACACUUACUAUGUGCUGGGAACUCUUGCAUCGUAGACAGGAUUCAAACCACCAUCUAUUUGAUUCCAAAGACUAAAUUCUUUCCAUUACCCUUGGUAAAGGAAAUAUCUGUCCCUUGGUGACUGGAAACAAAAUUUAAGCACCAAGUGUCAUUAUGUAAAGUCGAUCAAUUAGUUUGAUUUUACAGGCAGCUUGAAUACUCCCAA